AGAGUUUGAUCCUGGCUCAGAACGAACGCUGGCGGCAUGCCUAACACAUGCAAGUCGAACGCUUUGCCGGUUUCGGCCGGCAGGGAGUGGCGCACGGGUGAGUAGCGCGUGGGAACCUGCCCUGUUGUGGGGGAUAACCGAGGGAAACUUCGGCUAACACCGCAUACGCCGGUUGUCUUGAACGAGAUGGCCGGGAAAGA
rnacentral:rRNA from 1 species